GUCUGGCAGUCCCUAGUGAGAUGAACCCGGUACCUCAGAUGGAAAUGCAGAAAUCACCCGUCUUCUGCGUCGCUCACGCUGGGAGCUGUAGACCGGAGCUGUUCCUAUUCGGCCAUCUUGGCUCCUCUCCCUCUUUAAAGUGAGUGUGAUUUUGAAGAAAGGAGGAAAGAUGUGAAAAGUGAUUAGUCAGCCACAUUCAUGGUGUUGAGAAAAGAAUUUGCUUUUCUGGAACAUAGCCUGUGAUAGCAGAACAACACCUGGCAAGAAACAGGUUAUGUUUGGCUGGAGAGUCAUUGGCACUAUCAAGAAAUAUUAAAGUGUAGAUUUGAGAGAGGAGGAGAAAGACCCAAGCAAAAUUGAAAACCAGGUGGGACCCAGACAGCAGCAAAGCAAUGGAAGCAUGUAUUUUGGUCAAUAUAGAGUUAAUACACAAUUUUGCCCCUCUUCUUCUGAUCAUGGGACUCAUAUUACCAGUCUUCACAUUUCCUUUAAAUUCAGGAAUCAGGAAGAAUUUCCAGAGUUUGCAGAUAGGGACACAUUUGCUGCUUCCAUUCUAAACAUAAGUUAUAAGACAUUUUCAACUGGAUUCCAACUUUAAUAUGUCACAAACAUAAAAAAGAAAGCUAUUUCCUGGACUUUUCUUCGUUAGAAAUUAAUAGAUUGUCAAUUGGCAUAGGGAAAAGAUUAUCAACAGAUGCCAACCCCAAGUUAACAGAAAUGCUAAAAUUAUAAGA
rnacentral:lncRNA from 1 species